rnacentral:rRNA from 1 species
CAACUUUCAGCUAGCGGAGUUAAUUCAUUGU